UACAGAGGGGGCAAGCGUUGUUCGGAAUUACUGGGCGUAAAGGGCGCGUAGGCGGCCUUCUAAGUCGAACGUGAAAUCCCUGGGCUCAACCCAGGAACUGCGUCCGAUACUGGGAGGCUUGAAUCCGGGAGAGGGAUGCGGAAUUCCAGGUGUAGCGGUGAAAUGCGUAGAUAUCAGGAGGAACACCAAUGGCGAAGGCAGCUCGCUGGGACGGUACUGACGCUGAGACGCGAAAGCGUGGGGAGCAAACAGG
rnacentral:rRNA from 1 species